CCUACGGGCGGCAGCAGUGAGGAAUAUUGGUCAAUGGACGAGAGUCUGAACCAGCCAAGUAGCGUGAAGGAUGACUGCCCUAUGGGUUGUAAACUUCUUUUAUAUGGGAAUAAAAUGUUCCACGUGUGGGAUUUUGUAUGUACCAUAUGAAUAAGGAUCGGCUAACUCCGUGCCAGCAGCCGCGGUAAUACGGAGGAUCCGAGCGUUAUCCGGAUUUAUUGGGUUUAAAGGGAGCGUAGGUGGAUUGUUAAGUCAGUUGUGAAAGUUUGGGGCUCAACCGUAAAAUUGCAGUUGAAACUGGCAGUCUUGAGUACAGGAGAGGUAGGCGGAAUUCGUGGUGUAGCGGUGAAAUGCUUAGAUAUCACGAAGAACUCCGAUUGCGAAGGCAGUUCACUGGACUGCAACUGACACUGAGGCUCGAAAGUGUGGGUAUCAAACAGGAUUAGAUACCCUUGUAGUC
rnacentral:rRNA from 1 species